rnacentral:tRNA from 1 species
UCCCUGGCAGCUCAGAUGGUAGAGCUUCCGCCUGCAAUGCGGGAGACCCGGGUUCGAUCCCUGGGUUGGGAA